CAAAUUAAGGCUCCUAUUGGGAUUGGGGUAUCAGUUAUGCUUCUCCUGAUUUUAUUGACUGUUUUGUGUUUCCUCUUCAUUUUUAAAAAUAAAUGUCUGCAAAAAUGUCAAAAACUAGAGUCCAAAACCAUCCAGGAACUGCAAAUCAGAACAACCGUGGAUGAGAACGUUUACACCAGCAGAGAUCAAAGAGAUUAUGAAGAGUGCCCCUAAUGGUAGAAAAAGAAGAUGCAGGAGACCAAGAAGUCUUCAGUUUCCAUGGGUUUAUGUUCCAUUAAUGUUAACAAUGCAAGAUGAAACGUUCUAUUCCUGUUCUAUAGCUUUUGUUUUAUAAUACAAUGGAUACGCCACUGUUUACCUUUUCGCUGCUCAUGUGUAAAUUCAAUACAUGGGGAUGUUGUUCAAAAAUCAAUUUUCAUGUACUCUGGAGGGGGUUGCAGUGUCUUCUGGCUUUCUUUCCACCUGAGCUCUCAAUUGCUUAAUUGGUCUAAUUAUUUG